rnacentral:rRNA from 1 species
UACGAAGGGGGCUAGCGUUGCUCGGAAUCACUGGGCGUAAAGGGUGCGUAGGCGGGUCUUUAAGUCAGGGGUGAAAUCCUGGAGCUCAACUCCAGAACUGCCUUUGAUACUGAAGAUCUUGAGUUCGGGAGAGGUGAGUGGAACUGCGAGCGUAGAGGUGAAAUUCGUAGAUAUUCGCAAGAACACCAGUGGCGAAGGCGACUACCUGGCCUGUUCUUGACGCUGAGGCGCGAAAGCUAGGGGAGCAAACGGG